rnacentral:rRNA from 1 species
GUGAGGAAUAUUGCGCAAUGGAGGCAACUCUGACGCAGCCAUGCCGCGUGCAGGAAGAAGGCGCUACGCGUUGUAAACUGCUUUUAACCGGGAAGAAACCCCAGGACGUGUCCUGGGUUGACGGUACCGGAGGAAUAAGCACCGGCUAACUUCGUGCCAGCAGCCGCGGUAAUACGAAGGGUGCAAGCGUUAUCCGGAUUCAUCGGGUUUAAAGGGUGCGUAGGCGGAUCGUUAAGUCAGUGGUGAAAUCCUGCAGCUUAACUGUAGACUUGCCAUUGAUACUGGCGCUCUUGAGUGCGCUUGAAGUGGGCGGAAUGUGCCGUGUAGCGGUGAAAUGCUUAGAUAUGGCACAGAACACCAAUUGCGAAGGCAGCUCACUAAGGCGAUACUGACGCUGAGGCACGAAAGCGUGGGGAUCGAACAGGAUUAGAAACCCGGGUAGUCC